rnacentral:rRNA from 1 species
GACGAACGCUGGCGGCGUGCUUAACACAUGCAAGUCGAACGAUGAACCCGGAGCUUGCUCCGGUGGAUUAGUGGCGAACGGGUGAGUAACACGUGAGUAACCUGCCCUUGACUCUGGGAUAACUGCGGGAAACUGUAGCUAAUACCGGAUACGACCCUCGGCGGCAUCGCCAGGGGGUGGAAAGAAUUUCGGUCAAGGAUGGACUCGCGGCCUAUCAGCUAGUUGGUGAGGUAACGGCUCACCAAGGCGACGACGGGUAGCCGGCCUGAGAGGGUGGCCGGCCACACUGGGACUGAGACACGGCCCAGACUCCUACGGGAGGCAGCAGUGGGGAAUAUUGCACAAUGGGCGCAGGCCUGAUGCAGCAACGCCGCGUGAGGGAUGACGGCCUUCGGGUUGUAAACCUCUUUUAGUAGGGAAGAAGCGAAAGUGACGGUACCUGCAGAAAAAGCACCGGCUAACUACGUGCCAGCAGCCGCUGUAA